GUAAAAGUUUGCUCUAACUAGUCCAAGCUGCUGUCACAAGCUUUUAGAAAUGAUGUAACCAUGGGGCAGUUGACUGUCGUCAUGUUCUUUGCUAUUUUCAUGACUCUGGAUGUGCUUUUCCUAUUCCCUGGAUUGCCCUUUCCCUCGAUUCCUCUGCAGGACUGGGCUUUAUUAAUCUCCAUUUCCUUGAGCUUGGCUAUAGUAGGUGUUCAAUAAACAUUUGUUUUGUUGUGUGCUUUGUAAAUAGGCAAUGAAGCUGAUUUCACAAGAUAGGCACAAAAGUUAGUUUCAUUACAACACAUUACCAACAGCUGUAUUUUUAACUUUUAACAUAUCUCAUUCUAAAUCCUGUGGCAGCACAACCUCCUUCCGUCAUACCUGGAGAUAAAUUUUCUUUCAAAAUCUAAUAUGCACUGUAUUUAUAGAAUAUGAAACAUACCGACCAUGUUUUGCAAAAAUGGGAAAGGCAUAACUUAGCUUUGGGGCAUGUAAGUAACAACUCCUGAUAGGAGAAGAAAUGUAUUCAGAAAGCUCAAAUUAGAAAUAAAAUGGGAGACUCUAGAUUUGUG
rnacentral:lncRNA from 1 species